rnacentral:rRNA from 1 species
GCGUUAAUCGGAAUUACUGGGCGUAAAGCGCGCGUAGACGGUUUUGUAAGUCAGAUGUGAAAUCCCUGGGCUCAACCUGGGAACUGCAUUUGAGACUGCAUGGCUAGAGUAUGGAAGAGGGAAGUGGAAUUUCCGGUGUAGCGGUGAAAUGCGUAGAUAUCGGAAGGAACACCAGUGGCGAAAGCGACUUCCUGGUCCAAUACUGACGUUCAUGUGCGAAAGCGUG